AUUGAACGCUGGCGGCAUGCCUUACACAUGCAAGUCGAACGGCAGCGCGGGCUUCGGCCUGGCGUCGAGUGGCGAACGGGUGAGUAAUACAUCGGAACGUGCCCUGUAGUGGGGGAUAGCUUAGCGACAGGCGGACUAAUACCGCAUACGACCUGAGGGUGAAAGCGGGGGAUCUUCGGACCUCGCGCUAUUGGAUCUGCCUAUGGCAGAUUAGCUAGUUGGUGGGGUAAAGGCCUACCAAGGCGACGAUCUGUAGCUGGUCUGAGAGGACGACCAGCCACACUGGAACUGAGACACGGCCCAGACUCCUACGGGAGGCAGCAGUGGGGAAUUUUGGACAAUGGGCGAAAGCCUGAUGCAGCAAUGCCGCGUGUGUGAUGAAGGUCUUCGGAUCGUAAAGCACUGUUAGUAGGGACGAAAAGAAGUGUGAGAAAACAUGGAUGUGUUGACGGUACCUACAGAAUAAGCACCGGCUAACUACGUG
rnacentral:rRNA from 1 species